rnacentral:rRNA from 1 species
CGGUACGUACUGGCAUUGUUGGUUUCUCCCUUCUGACGAACCAUGAUGUCAUUUAUUUGGUGUUGUGGGGAAUCAGGACUGUUACUUUGAAAAAAUUAGAGUGUUUAAAGCAGGCUCACGCUUGAAUACAUUAGCAUGGAAUAAUGAAAUAGGACGUUUGAUUCUAUUUUGUUGGUUUCUAGGAUCGACGUAAUGAUUAAUAGGGAUAGUUGGGGGCAUUAGUAUUCAAUUGUCAGAGAUGAAAUUCUUGGAUUUAUUGAAGACUAACUACUGCGAAAGCAUUUGCCAAGGAUGUUUUCAUUAAUCAAGAACGAAAGUUAGGGGAUCGAAGACGAUCAGAUACCGUCGUAGUCUUAACCAUAAACUAUGCCGACUAGGGAUCGGAUGAUGUUAAUUUUUUAAUGACUCAUUCGGCGCCUUACG